rnacentral:tRNA from 1 species
ACUACUUUGUCAGAUAAUAUGUACUAGAUUUAGGAUCUAGUUAAAUAGAAUAAGGUUCUAUAGGUAGUAAAAUAAUUACAUCUAAUUGUUUU